rnacentral:rRNA from 1 species
UACGGAGGGGGCUAGCGUUGUUCGGAAUUACUGGGCGUAAAGCGCACGUAGGCGGCUUUGUAAGUCAGAGGUGAAAGCCCGGAGCUCAACUCCGGAAUAGCCUUUGAGACUGCAUCGCUUGAAUCCAGGAGAGGUGAGUGGAAUUCCGAGUGUAGAGGUGAAAUUCGUAGAUAUUCGGAAGAACACCAGUGGCGAAGGCGGCUCACUGGACUGGUAUUGACGCUGAGGUGCGAAAGCGUGGGGAGCAAACAGG